UCAAGACUCCAUGUCUAAGUCUUAGAGUUUGUAUUAAGGGUGUAAAAGUGUAAAUUUCGUUUAUUGGAUUGAUCAUGCAGGAGAUUAUCGUUUGGUGAUUGCGAUGAUCUUCUUUUUAUGACUUAUUGGUUGUAUACGAACUUUGUGUUAUAUUUUGUCACGAAAUCGCCAAAGGGGGAGAUUGUUAAGGAUUUUAUAGGUUUGCGAAUUUCGUAAAGUUGUUUGGAGUCUUGAAGAGUUGAUCACAGAAGUUUUGGAGAAGAGAUUCAAAUUGGAGGACGAAGA
rnacentral:lncRNA from 1 species